rnacentral:rRNA from 1 species
AACGUAGGACGCGAGCGUUAUCCGGAGUUACUGGGCGUAAAGGGUGGGCAGGCGGCCGUGUCAGAUGGGUGUGAAAUCUCCCGGCUCAACCGGGAGGGGCCACUCGUGACUGCACGGCUGGAGGGCAGCAGAGGCGCGUGGAAUUCCGGGUGGAGUGGUGAAAUGCGCAGAUAUCAGGAGGAAACACCGGAUGGCGAAGGCAGGUCUCUGGGCCACUACGUGACGCUGGAGAAGCGAAAGCGAGGGAGCGACGGAGGA